rnacentral:rRNA from 1 species
ACGAACGCUGGCGGCGUGCUUAACACAUGCAAGUCGAGCGGUAAGGCCCUUUCGGGGGUACACGAGCGGCGAACGGGUGAGUAACACGUGGGUGACCUGCCCUCAGCUCUGGGAUAAGCCUGGGAAACUGGGUCUAAUACCGGAUAUGACUUUCUUACGCAUGUAGGAAGGUAGGAAAGUUCCGGCGGUGCAGGAUGAACCCGCGG